rnacentral:rRNA from 1 species
AUGAACGCUAGCUACAGGCUUAACACAUGCAAGUCGAGGGGCAUCAGUUUGGUUUGCUUGCAAACCAAAGCUGGCGACCGGCGCACGGGUGAGUAACACGUAUCCAACCUGCCUCAUACUCGGGGAUAGCCUUUCGAAAGAAAGAUUAAUAUCCGAUAGCAUAUAUUUCCCGCAUGGGUUUUAUAUUAAAGAAAUUCGGUAUGAGAUGGGGAUGCGUUCCAUUAGUUUGUUGGCGGGGUAACGGCCCACCAAGACUACGAUGGAUAGGGGUUCUGAGAGGAAGGUCCCCCACAUUGGAACUGAGACACGGUCCAAACUCCUACGGGAGGCAGCAGUGAGGAAUAUUGGUCAAUGGACGCGAGUCUGAACCAGCCAAGUAGCGUGAAGGAUGACUGCCCUAUGGGUUGUAAACUUCUUUUAUAUGGGAAUAAAGUGGUCCACGUGUGGAUUUUUGUAUGUACCAUAUGAAUAAGGAUCGGCUAACUCCGUGCCAGCAGCCGCGGUAAUACGGAGGAUCCGAGCGUUAUCCGGAUUUAUUGGGUUUAAAGGGAGCGUAGGCGGAUUGUUAAGUCAGUUGUGAAAGUUUGCGGCUCAACCGUAAAAUUGCAGUUGAUACUGGCAGUCUUGAGUGCAGUAGAGGUGGGCGGAAUUCGUGGUGUAGCGGUGAAAUGCUUAGAUAUCACGAAGAACUCCGAUUGCGAAGGCAGCUCACUGGAGUGUAACUGACGCUGAUGCUCGAAAGUGUGGGUAUCAAACAGGAUUAGAUACCCUGGUAGUCCACACAGUAAACGAUGAAUACUCGCUGUUUGCGAUAUACAGUAAGCGGCCAAGCGAAAGCAUUAAGUAUUCCACCUGGGGAGUACGUUCGCAAGAAUGAAACUCAAAGGAAUUGACGGGGACCCGCACAAGCGGUGGAGCAUGUGGUUUAAUUCGAAGCAACGCGAAGAACCUUACCAAGUCUUGACAUCCUCUUGACCGGCGUGUAACGGCGCCUUCCCUUCGGGGCAAGAGAGACAGGUGGUGCAUGGUUGUCGUCAGCUCGUGUCGUGAGAUGUUGGGUUAAGUCCCGCAACGAGCGCAACCCUUAUCCUUUGUUGCCAGCGGUCCGGCCGGGAACUCAAAGGAGACUGCCAGUGAUAAACUGGAGGAAGGUGGGGAUGACGUCAAAUCAGCACGGCCCUUACGUCCGGGGCUACACACGUGUUACAAUGGGGGGUACAGAAGGCCGCUACCUGGUGACAGGAUGCCAAUCCCAAAAACCUCUCUCAGUUCGGAUCGAAGUCUGCAACCCGACUUCGUGAAGCUGGAUUCGCUAGUAAUCGCGCAUCAGCCAUGGCGCGGUGAAUACGUUCCCGGGCCUUGUACACACCGCCCGUCAAGCCAUGAAAGCCGGGGGUACCUGAAGUACGUAACCGCAAGGAGCGUCCUAGGGUAAAACUGGUAAUUGGGGCU